UGACGAGUACCGAGCCGCUAACCGAGCGGUGCGUGCAGCUGUGCGGGCGGACAGUCGGAGCGAUAUUGAGGGGCGAAUCGCAGCGGACGGUCCGGCUUCGGUGUGGCGUUACUUGCGGCGUGUCCCGGGCUGCUGCGCUUCUGACCGCGGUUCGGUCGGGCGUUGCGGCCGCCUGCUGGGGGCCACCCGACUGCUGGGGGCGACCCGAGCGAUGAGCACUCGACUGCCGAGGACUGGCGACCUACAACGGGGCCUGUGGCUGCCCUCGGACGUGGGCCGUGGGAGGCGGCGUGGAGGAGGUGCGGCUGCCGGCGCUCGGGGGCCGCUGCGGAUGGCAGAUGCGAUGCGGCUCCCCCUGGAUGGCGUCCUACUCUUGGGGGCCGCUCGGCUGUCGGCAGCGGCAUCCUGACCCCUUGGGGCUGCUCGACUGCCAGCGGCGGCGGGCCUCCGCCUGCUGGGGAGUGCGGCGGCCUAGGACACACUACCCGUGGCCUGGAUGGUAUGCGACUACCGGCCCCCUGGUGCCGCUACGAGGAACAAUGACGUUGCGCCUCUCAAACUAGGAUUGGCCUGGGCCGGGCGUGACGGCCGGUCGAGUUCGGUGUCCGGUCGGCUGCGCCCGACCGGACCAUUUGACUGUCGACGACGGGCCU